rnacentral:siRNA from 1 species
CCAAGCUUCCUUGUGGCCCCU